rfam:Otolemur garnettii contig109591, whole genome shotgun sequence.
GGCACUGUAGCUCAGCGGCUAGAGCACUAGCCACAUACACCAGAGAUGGCAGGUUCAAAUCCAGCCCAGGCCU